CGGGAGGGUGAGUAAUGUAUGGGAUCUACCUGAUGGCGGGGGAUAACUACUGGAAACGGUAGCUAAUACCGCAUAAUGUCUGCGGACCAAAGCGGGGGACCUCCGGGCCUCGCGCCAUCAGAUGAACCCAUAUGGGAUUAGCUAGUAGGUAAGGUAACGGCUUACCUAGGCGACGAUCCCUAGCUGGUCUGAGAGGAUGAUCAGCCACACUGGGACUGAGACACGGCCCAG
rnacentral:rRNA from 1 species